AGUGAACGCUGGCGGUAGGCCUAACACAUGCAAGUCGAACGGCAGCACAGGAGAGCUUGCUCUCUGGGUGGCGAGUGGCGGACGGGUGAGGAAUACAUCGGAAUCUACCCUUUCGUGGGGGAUAACGUAGGGAAACUUACGCUAAUACCGCAUACGACCUACGGGUGAAAGUGGGGGACCGCAAGGCCUCACGCGAUUAG
rnacentral:rRNA from 1 species